rnacentral:rRNA from 1 species
AAUAGAUACCCCGGUAGUCCACGCCGUAAACGAUGUCGACUUGGAGGUUGUUCCCUUGAGGAGUGGCUUCCGGAGCUAACGCGUUAAGUCGACCGCCUGGGGAGUACGGCCGCAAGGUUAAAACUCAAAUGAAUUGACGGGGGCCCGCACAAGCGGUGGAGCAUGUGGUUUAAUUCGAUGCAACGCGAAGAACCUUACCUACUCUUGACAUCCAGAGAACUUAGCAGAGAUGCUUUGGUGCCUUCGGGAACUCUGAGACAGGUGCUGCAUGGCUGUCGUCAGCUCGUGUUGUGAAAUGUUGGGUUAAGUCCCGCAACGAGCGCAACCCUUAUCCUUUGUUGCCAGCGGUCCGGCCGGGAACUCAAAGGAGACUGCCAGUGAUAAACUGGAGGAAGGUGGGGAUGACGUCAAGUCAUCAUGGCCCUUACGAGUAGGGCUACACACGUGCUACAAUGGCGCAUACAAAGAGAAGUGACCUCGCGAGAGCAAGCGGACCUCAUAAAGUGCGUCGUAGUCCGGAUUGGAGUCUGCAAC